rnacentral:rRNA from 1 species
GCAAUUUAUUAUUUUUUAGUAUAUAAAUUUCACGAAACCGUCUGAGCUAAUUUUUAUUUUAUCUUAGAAUUUUAGUUUAGCGUAGCAUAGCUAAAUUAAUAAUAGGAAUUAGGGGUGAAAGGCUUACCAAAUUCGGGGAUAUCUUGAUAAUAAGGAAAUAUAUUUAGUAUAUAGCCAGCUUGAUAAUGGUGAGGUUAUCAAAAAUUAUAAUAAUAGCUUUUUCUUUAUGUGGAAUUCGUAAUAGAUACCAAUUUAACUACAUUAAUAUUAUUAUACUUUUAAUAUGUAAUUAGUACUUAAUUAAGCGCCAUAAUAUUUAUUUGUUUAAAAAAUGAUUGCAUCAGUAUUAAAUAAUUUUUAUUAAAGGAACUCGGCAACUUUAAUUCUCGGCUGUUUAUCAAAAACAAGUUUUAAGUUUUCAUUUAAAAUAAAACCUGCUCAAUGAAAAUUUAAAUAGCCGCAGUACCUUGACUGUGCAAAGGUAGCAUAAUCAGUUGGCUUAUAAUUGAAGUCUAGUAUGAAUGGGAAUUCGGGAAUUCACUGUCUUUAUUUAAUUCUUAGAACUUACUUAUUAAGUGAAAAUUCUUAUCAAAAGAAAAAAGACGAGAAGACCCUAGAAAUUUUUUAAAUAUAUAAUCUUUAAUUUUGUUGGGGCGACAAGGUAACAAGAAACUUACCUAGUACAUGUGAAACUAUUAAGUUGAAGAGAUAAAUUACUCUAGGGAUAACAGCAUAAUAUUUUAAAGUUUGUGACCUCGAUGUUGGACUAGGGAGUGGAUUACUUAGAAGGUAAUUUAAUAGGCUCUGUUCGAGCUUUAUACCCUACAUGAUCUGAGUUCAGACCGG